rnacentral:rRNA from 1 species
CCUACGGGGGGCAGCAGUGGGGAAUAUUGGACAAUGGGCGCAAGCCUGAUCCAGCCACGCCGCGUGAGUGAUGAAGGCCUUCGGGUCGUAAAGCUCUGUGGGGAGGGACGAACCGCUGCACGUUCAUAGCGUGCAGCAUGACGGUACCUCCUUAGCAAGCACCGGCUAACUUCGUGCCAGCAGCCGCGGUAAUACGAAGGGUGCAAACGUUGCUCGGAAUUAUUGGGCGUAAAGCGCACGUAGGCGGCAUUGCAAGUCGGAUGUGAAAUCCCACGGCUUAACCAUGGAAGUGCAUCCGAAACUGCAGUGCUUGAGUACUUAAGAGGAUCGCGGAAUUCCCGGUGUAGAGGUGAAAUUCGUAGAUAUCGGGAGGAACACCAGUGGCGAAGGCGGCGAUCUGGGAAGAUACUGACGCUGAGGUGCGAAAGCGUGGGGAGCAA